UUAAAAAUUUGGUCUGAGCUCCAGAAAACUUCACGUAUGGUAAAGUUAGCUAUGACUACAGAUGUUUAGCUGGAAGGGUUUCCUGGAAGUGCAACAUUAGCAAAUCUUCUCUUUUUAAUCUGGCUGAAGGUCCAGUCAGUGCAACAUUCAGUGCCCACUGUGGAACGAGCUUAGAAUAGUGGUCAAUAAUGUUUCAUACACCCUUUGGGAAAUCAGAACAAAGGAAACCCAUCUGGACCAGUUGUAUAAGCACAAGGCUACAACAGAAGACAGUUGUAUUGUGCAGAGCUAAACAAGAGAUAGAUACUCUUGGAAGAGAUUAAUUCUAGACUCAAAUGAACUAAAAAAGCAUCACCUGUGAAGAAUAUUAUUGCUUGAAAGAGAGGUGCAUCUGUUCAUUGCCUAGAGGCACAAACAAGUAAUAUUGGUGGUCAAAAAUCUGGUUAUAGAAAUGAAAAUAAUCAUAGAGGGAGCAGCGAGGAAAGAGCCAUGGCUUUUCAAGAAGUCUACAUAGUACUGCAAUUUGUGUGUGUACUUCUUAGUUCUGUAAGUCCUGCAUUAUUUUAAUGGCAGUUAAUGAACUCAAUAUAUAAAAGUAAAAAAAAGCCAAAUUAUUUUUCAUUCCAUAAUUUGCAACUCUUAAAGUAAUCAGAGCAUUAAAUUUCAAAGAUGAAUAACUACAAAACAACCUCUGCUUUAUUAAAAGAGCUUUACACUCUCCUCUGUUUCUUUUUACAAUUCUAGUUUUUAUACCUAAUUGGAGACUGCUUUUUUUUUCCUUCAUACAGAAGAAGACAAGAGAAAUGGCUUCUGUAAGAUACCUUCAUUAUUAAAGCAUGUUCCAGCCAUCAACCAAAAUAUAUGACCUUCAGUUGUCUUCAAAACAACCAGUUCAGGAGCCUUACAGAUUUCCAAAGGUGUGACAUCUAAGAAGCCAGAAGAGUGCUGGGCUGGUGGAUGCAGAACAAAAAAGAAACGUCCAUCAGAUGAGACACGUGCGUAGCUCUGAACUCAUACCUGUUUCAUGCUGGGUCAGUCACCAUCAAGUACCACACCAACUGCCUCAUGCCUGUUCAGUCAAGCCCCUCUUUGAUCGUUUUGGGGUGUUCUUGCCUUAAUUUGAAGUUGAUUGGAAAUAGGUGAGAAAAAGUGCUUUUGUUUGUCUGUGUAUGUGGAGAAUUACAGCCCUAGCAAGAGUCACCCUGGUGCCGAGCAGUGCAGCAGGAUGUGUCUGAGAACCAGGCUGCAGAACAGCAGCAGAAUGCUUCCCUUGAGAGGAGCACAGGGUAAGACAAUGCUGUUCAUUCAGUACAGAAAGAACCAGAGCAGGCUAUGCUGAGAAAACUAGAAAAUGUGAAAUUAUAUAAAAUUAGGUGUAAGUGUUAAUCAAGAGCUAAUUACCUUCUGUAAGCCACUGACUCACAGAUGUUCUGAGCCUCACAAAAAGAGACAGAAAUUUGUGAGGUAGCAUCAACAGCAUUACAAAACCUAUGUUACUGUUUGUUGCAUUUUAUUGUAAUUCAUGUAUUUUAUUUUUUGGAAAGCAGACCUAGGGAAAACAAAGUGUGGCUACAUUGGAGAGCUGCCAGCAGUUCCACUUUGUGACUGAGGUGGCUGGUGGCUGUGGCCAGUCUAAGGCUGCACAGAGAAAUGCAAGUGUGGAGGCUUUUAUUUGUCUUUUCUGUUUGAAUGCUUUAAGUUUCAGGUAGAAUCAAAGGAAAUUUCAGCUCAUGAAAAGGAACUGGACAACUGAUAAUGUGAGCUAAUAGAUCUGGAGAGGACCUCCAGUCAUUUGGUGUUACAACUCUCCAGGAUGAACCUUUUACUGUAGUGGUAAUAAACACUGUUUUAAUGCCACUCUGGUGAAUUACCCUCAUGUUCUGUAGGAAGACUAUUCUGGAAGCUCAGACCCAGCACUGAAACCUCAAAACAUUCAAGUGAAAUUAAUUUAUAACUGGUUUGUGCCUGUUUGAUUUGCUGCCAGUACAGUCCAGUAGUUUUAACAGCGUUUUCCAUUUGUAGCAGCUACGAUUCUGCAAUUUUCCUGAGGAGAAAUCCUACACUCUUCUAGGUUUCAUUUUGCUAGCUAGAUAAGUGAUGCUCUUUCAAAUUUUUUUGCUCGUAGGCUGCUUGCAGGCAUGUAAAACUUCAAGCAAAAAUACAGUGAAAACACUGAGAAAGAAAAUUUCUAUGCAGUGAGAGAGGAGUGGAAGGGGCUGUUUCAAAGGAAGUAAGAACAGAAGAGAAAAAGAAACAAAAAUGUCUGGACAGAGUAGUAUGAGGCAAUGUGCAGCUGAUAAACUUGGCUAAACCUGAUUUCUUUUUGACCCACUUAAAAAAAUAAAAUAAAAAAGAAGAAAUUUGUUGACAUAUAAAUCAUUCUUCAUAAAAUUGGUAGAUGCAGAAUUGUGAAGAACUGUUUCUUUUCAUCUUUGAAGGAGUGAUCUGCUUCUUCUGCGCCAUUUUGAGAAAAGCAAAUUUCCAAGUACUUGCUCAGAAGACUGCAGUGAAACAAAAAAAAAAAAAAAAGGUAUAACUAGAAAUAGUUGCUGUUUCUUUGUAGAAAACUAUUGUCCUCUGCUUCACCAUCAUUCCUGUACUCACCUGCCAUCCAGAUGUGCUGAUGACAAACUUGUGGCAGCAGACCCUGCUGGAGCUGAUGGUGUCUUUUCUGAUGUGAUACCGGAUUCAUUUUUCAUCCAUAGAAAACCUGAAGUGCUUUCUUGAUUGUAUUCCAUUGUUCAGAAGCAGGAAACAAAAUAGCAAACUGAUUUAGUACCAAGGCUUGUUGCUCUCUCAUUGUUUGUGCUAUGGCCAGACUACUCCACAGCAGGUCCCUCGAGUUUUCUGAAGAUGUAAUUUGGUGAAAGUGCAUUAACUCAUGCAUUUGGGCUGCCAGGUCUGACAGUGAUAAGUGGCAAAACUCUGUAUGGCUCAAAUUAAAAGCAGACAGACUGGGGUAUGGGCUCAGACCCUCCUUGGUUUUCUGCAUAUCAUGCUUGCAAAAUUGUUGAUAUGGUCCUGUACUCAAGCUGUGCCUUCUCAUCAUGUGUUGUAUUUGGAUCAACAGGAAGGAGUUACCUGGGGGCUUUGUCAUUGCUUGAAAACCAGAAGAAAAAGCAGAAAAAAUGUGGGCAUUUUCCUUUUUUUUUUUUUUUUUUGGUUUUUUUUUGGUUUUUUUUGAAUGUGUCUUGAUUAAGCAAUAAAGGUUAUAGAGGUCCUUCUAAUCUUCAAAUAAAUGUCUGGGGAAAAAUACAUUAAAAAGAAAUAAGAGGAGUCUUCAAAUAAUUUUUGAACAGACAUGAGAACUACCUAAAAUGCUUGCACAAGUGCAAAAUAAAAAAUAAGUCCAUAUUUGGAAUAAAGAUAUCAUGUAAAUAGAUCAAUUUCACUCAGAGACUUAAAUUUCUGGUUUUUACACAGAAGUUAACUGCCUCUUAAGCAAAUUACAUUUCCAGGCAGAAGGUGUGUCACAAAUGUAAAACUAACCAAGUGCAAUUUGCAUUUUGAACAGGUAACAUAAAAGAAAAAUUGCAUUUCAAUGGCUUAUUCAACCUUUGUCAGAUCUUUUCUAGCUCUUUUGACAGCAUCAAUGUAAUACCAUUAUUUUCUGCAAAUGUGUUAUUUUCCUCUGCAGUUAUUACGAAGAGUUCACAAGAGAACAACAAAAUCUGAUCUGAAUAUGCCUUUUGCAGACAGUUUUAUUCCACCAUGAAGCUGCCUGCUGGGUGUAGAUGGAAAAGUGUGAAUUUUGCUCACAGUGUAUAUUGAGCUUCUGUGAUUUACCACAAAACCCAGUAACUGCUUUUGUUUAACAUAUACUUAAAGACACGUCAAGGAGAGCAAAGAAAGCCAUCCCAGCCUUUCUGCUCUGAGGAACAAUACAAAAUUCUUGACCAUCCCUAUGUGGGGAGAGGAUUCCUAACCUGAACUCUUGGUUGAAGGAAAUUGGUCAUUUGGAGACAACCAGGCUGAUGACAGCAAGAAUGUCACACUAAUCUGGCAUUUACCUUUGAUUUCAAUUGCAUUUGUCUGCUUAUUCUCUUUAUAGAAUUUAUAAAUGUAUGAUCUUUAUAAAAUUUAAUAGUAAUAGUAAUAAUAUUCUGAUUGCUAUUUAUUUUAGUAAAAAAAGGAUAAUAAAUCUUACACUAGGGGGAUAUUAAAAAGGAUAUUAGGAGAUUAUAGAAUAAUGAUAAAGUAAAAGUUGCUGUUGCUCAGGCAGAUAUUAGCCAUGCAAAGGAAAUUGGAAGAGUCAUAGAGGAAAAAAAGGAAAGGGGACAGUGGUGUAAAGAGAUGGAUUAAAUUCAGCACAGUUGACAUCAGUUUUCAGUGAAGAUUGAAACAGAGGCAUCUCUGACCUAUAGAAAUAAAUAAUUGAGCAUUGAACUGGGUAAAAUAGAUUCUACAGGUUAAAAAAGAGGGGAAUAGUAUAUUCUCUAUCCCAGAGCUCUGGUUCAAUGUGUCAAAGAUUUAAUUUUUUAUUUUAAAUAAACACUGAAUAAUGAUGCCAUAAAUACCAUGAGCAUCAAAAAGCAAAUUAAUGUUUUUUUUUAAGGAGAAACAUUAAAAAACAAAUGGCAUAAACAUUGCAUCCUGUCAUCUGACCUCAGAAUGCACAGAAUUCUGAAACCUGACAGAGAAAAAUAAAAGCCUUGAGCAGUGGUAUAUAGCAGAUUGAAGCAAGAUACAUGUGUUUUUUUAGAGAUGAGAAAGUAGAACAGUUUUCAUCUACUGACACUUAGAGCACAGUAUUUGAUUUCUACCACCAGAAAAAAACCCACACUAUUUAAACUGAGGGAGAUAAGAUGUAACAAAAAAAAAGAAAAAAAAAGGCAGAUAAGCUGCUCAAAGGACAUAAGGCAGUGGGUAGUCAGAAGACAGCCUGGCUGGAGAGGUAAAAAGGAAAAAGGAGCAGGUUUUGGGAUGAUGUGUGUGGGCCUUUAUGCUUGUUCCAAUGAGCUGCUGUCACAUAACCUAACAAUUAUUGCUAAGCAUUUGUUGCUGCAUGACACGGAGCACAUGUGUUUGUGUAUUCCAGGUGCUCAGCACACAGAGAUGCUCCCAUAGCAGGUGGCAUGGGUGGCCUCUCUGGUGGCAGUGCCACGACUGGCCACAUGCAUGCUCUUCAGGGAAGCCACACAGCUCAGUGGGAUGUGCUGGCUGUGUCCAGAGCAAUCUCUUAAGCUCAGAGCUACUUCUUGAGCUCUAUGGAGAAGCUGAGGAAUGUGAACCACCUCUGUGUCGAGACAGGGGAGACACAGGUGACUCUGGAACAGAGCAGGCCAGCACUGUCACCAGAACAUGGAGUUAGACAAGAUUGCAGGGUCCACACUCAGCAUUUAAAGAAGUCUUUGUCUUUGCUGUUCAGCUGUUAGCAUCUUUGGGUGACUGGUGUCCCUUGGCAAAAUGAGAUAAGCAUCUCCCCAGGUGUUGUCCCUUUUCCACACAUUACAACAAAGCAUGAGAUUUUCACUAAUCACUUCACUUGGCUGAACAAGAUGGUUCCAGUGUAUGGCAAAUGGAACAUAACAAAGAAAGGAUUCUGAAAAGCUAUUAACACUGAGUCGAAUUUUAAGAAAUGUAAAAACAAGGAAAGGUGGACUGUUAAUUUCAUCUAAAUGACUGGCCUGAUUUCUAAUCUAAAAAUUUAUUUUAACUCCAUGUCAUCAUAAUAUUGCAUUGAUUAGCUCACUGAAAUGUAAUCUUAUUAGUGGUUCAAAAGGUUGCAUUUAAUGUAGCUGAUCAUGCUAGUGCAUCUCUGAGCAGUUCGUCCUUUAUUGCUGUGGCUCCUAAUGAACUGACUGUGCAUUAAAAUUCACCAAAUAAAAGUUACUACCUAGCUUAUUCUUAUUUGUUCUAGUGUUCUGCACACACCAGUUUGUCCUUUAGUUGAAGUCUCAUGUAAACUUUGUAUUGCUGAAAAGCCACCAAACUCCUUAUAGCAUAUGCUUUCUGUAUGUCAGCAUGUAUUUGCAGUCUUCAUAAUUAACAACAAAUA